AUUGAACGCUGGCGGCAGGCCUAACACAUGCAAGUCGAGCGAGCGGCGGACGGGUGAGUAAUGUAUGGGGAUCUGCCUGAUGGAGGGGGAUAACUACUGGAAACGGUAGCUAAUACCACAUACCAUAAGAUGAACCCAUAUUGGAUUAGCUAGUAGGUGAGGUAACGGCUCACCUAGGCGACGAUCCCUCGCUGGUCUUAGAGGAUGAUCAGCCACACUGUGACUGAGACACGGCCCAGACUCCUACGGGAGGCAGCAGUGGGGAAUAUUGCACAAUGGGCGCAAGCCUGAUGCAGCCAUGCCGCGUGUAUGAAGAAGGCCUUCGGGUUGUAAAGUACUUUCAGCGAGGAGGCGUUACUCGCAGAAGAAGCACCGGCUAACUCCGUGCCAGCAGCCGCGGUAAUUC
rnacentral:rRNA from 1 species